rnacentral:lncRNA from 1 species
UUCCCUUAUCUCUUCUUUUCUUUCUUCUUCAGAAAACAUUGACUAUUAGUCGAAGUUUCCAGGCUGUUAACGACAAUACCCAAGCCCCAGAGAGCAUCCUGAUCACCAACAAUACCCAAGCUCUUGCAUGUCCCCCUUUUUGAAGUCGGAAGUCUAUUAGACCAAAGUCCCAUCAUCAGCACCACUUCUUCCACUUCACUGCCAGCCACUGCUGUCUGCAAGUUGAGGCUAGAGUUAAGAUCCCAGCGGGUUUUGCUUGUGGAUUUGUGGUUCUAAUUGAAGUGGAUUUGUGGAUUUGCUUGUGUGAAUUUGUGUUUUUAACUGAAGGUGGAAGUGGGAUUUUAUUGAUUUUGUGCAUUGCUUCUAGUUUGCUGUGGUUAUGCAAAUCAUAGAUUUGCUUCUGCUGAUCUUGGUUCUAAUUGAAGAUGGGUUAUUGUUUGUAUUAUAGGAUUUAUUUUUCUUCUCAUUUGUGUUAAAAAUCAAUGCGAUUGUUGCUGGCCUUUUGUUGUUUGGUUGAUUAAUGUUUGGGAACUGUGAGGCUGAAAUUAGAUACCAAAGGACUGAUUAACCGAACCGAACUGAAAAAAAAAAAUCAGUUUGGUACAGAAUCAAACCGACCCAUUGCACACCUCUACUGGCUAUAGUGUAUCAUGUAAAAUUUAACUUGAGCUUUCUGAUGUUUUAGCAAAGAACAUGGCAUGAAGCUUUUAGCCUAAAAAUAAUUAGACAACUUCAAAUAGUCUAAUCUGUUCCAAGUAUUUAUGAUGUACAACGCUACAGUUAAAUCACAACCAUGGACAGCAACUUCAGGCAGCCAGUGUAAUUCUGAUAUCAUCAGAUUUAAUGUUCAUCUCGUCACUUGUGGUGCGAUCAUGUUUGCAUGCUAGCCAAUACGGUCACUAAGUGACUCUUAACAAAAAAAAACCUACCUCUUCAUUAUUGUGUUUGUAUUUUUUAUUUUUUAUUUUUUAACAUUUUCAGUUUUUAUUGUUCAAAAACUGAAAUAAUCAAUCAUGCAUUAUCAUUUUAGGCUUUUAGUAUACCAGUGAUUCACUCCCUUAACAGUGUCAUUUUUGGCAUGCCAAAACCAAAAUGAAAUUAAAAGUUUAAACCUCCCUUAAACUGUCAUUUGACUUUUUUCUAGGUCAUAGCCUAAAAAAAAUUGAAGUGGUGAACCCUUGGCUGUCCAUUUCUCAUCUGCCAACUCCCUCUUUACAGAAUCUCAACUCUCCAUUGCUGCAAUUGCAGCUUGAUUCGAUCAAUUUAGAAAUUGUAGUCUUGACUCAGAUCAGCAAUUUGGAUGCUUUAUAAAUUGAUUAAUAUAUAUAUAUAUAUAUAUUUUCUGCGAUUGCAGGUGGAAGAGAAGACUUUUCUCCAGGCAGGGAAAGGAUUUAGAUACUAUAACUGAGAUAGAAGAGAGUAUGGAGGAGAGGAAGCAAUCCAAUUGUGGUGGAGAUAAGAACCUAAUGGAGCCACAACAAGUGUUCUUGGCCAAGGCAGAAUUAUAUUGGUGCAGGCUCAGGGUGAGCAAUUGGAUGACAUUGAGUGUAAACAGCAG